UCGAAAUCGGGUAGACGCUACGGACUUAAAUAAUUUGAGCGAAAAUCCGUUGGCUUUAUUGACCGUGAGGGUUCAAGUCCC
rnacentral:tRNA from 2 species